rnacentral:lncRNA from 1 species
CCAGCUUUCGCAGACCUCGACUAACUCAACAGGAUACUUGUCACCUCCUAGUAUCAAUAGGUACCAGGCCUAGUGUUUUUUUAAAAUCUCUGUUAGGAUUUGGACCUGAGACCUCAUGGUUCUAAACCCACUUCAUUGGCCACUAGGCCACACCUUGGGUGCAAUGUAAGUAUCUUUGAUCAGACUUGACACUCCCAUCUUGCCUUUAGGUGUCGAGGCACAUUCAAAUACAC